GGGGGCGACAGGUUUCGACCGGACGGCUACGGUGGCGGAUGCAUGCCGAGGACGCUCGUUGGCCUCGUAAAUCAUCGAGCAACGCAUUGACUGCCGAUACGACUUCGUAUCGCCUGGCUGCCUAGUGCGGCCACGACCGCCCGCGGACGCCUGCGACGCGGAACGGUCGAAAUCAGCGGGCUGGUUUCCCGGUUCGGCCGUUGGCCGGGAGGCGAGAUUCAGACGGCUGGGCAAGGCCGGAGGUAGUCGAGGAUCGCCGGCGGCGUCGAGAAUCAAAGCUUCGACUAAGCAUGUAGGAUGCCGUCAUCUGGGUUGUCUUGGGACGAGGGUUCAACUCCCUCCGCCUCCAA
rnacentral:tmRNA from 1 species